GUCAAUUUUGUUUUUUUUUAAUUUAUUUCAUUGAUUAAAUAUAUAUUUUUUUUAUGAACAUUGAAAACCAAUACUAUAAAAUGUUCAUAUUUCUUUUAAAUGCAGAAUUUUUGAGCCUAUGUUUAUAAGAACUUUUUCAUUAUUUUAUUCAAAAAAAUUCAUGGUUUGAUUUUGUUCCAAGUAUUAGAAAAUACCCUAUAUAUUAAAUUAGAAAUUUUCAUUUUAAUGAAAAUAUCUUCAGAUUAUUCAAAAAUUAAUAAUACAGUUAAUUCUCUAUUCCUUGAAAUGAAAUUUAUAUUAAAAAAAACAACACUAAUCAAGAAAAAUUUCAGAAAGGAUUCAGAAGCUGAAAAAAUAAUUUUUUUUUUGAUUAUUUAUAUCGAGGUAACUAAGACUUUAUCCAUUCCAAGGGGUGUUGAAUGGCUUCCUCCGGGAUUGGAUGGUGGAGGGCCGUCUCAUCCUGGAGGAUAGGAUGGCCUUCUGAUACCUGAAAGUUGGGGGGGCGGCUUAUACACAAGUAGGUUAUAUCCAAUUAUAUAUAUAGU
rnacentral:lncRNA from 1 species